rnacentral:rRNA from 1 species
ACGCUCGACACCUACGGGAUGCAGCAGUUGGGAAUAUUGGACAAUGGAGGAAACUCUGAUCCAGUGACGCCGCGUGAAGGAAGAAGGUCUUCGGAUUGUAAACUUAUUUUGUCAGGGAAGAAAAAUGACUGUACCUGAAGAAAAAGCACCGGCUAACUACGUGCCAACUGCCGCGGUAAUCUGAGCGGGCUGGCAAGGC